CCUGUAGCUCAGUUGGUAGAGCAUGAUGUUUGCAAUGCCAGGGUUGUGGGUUUGAUUCCCACCGGG
rfam:Salmo salar isolate Sally breed double haploid chromosome ssa13, whole genome shotgun sequence.